rnacentral:rRNA from 1 species
UCGGUGCCGCAUCUAACGCAUUAAGUACUCCGCCUGGGAAGUACGCUCGCAAGAGUGAAACUCAAAGGAAUUUACGGGGACCCGCACACGUAGCGGAGCAUGUGGUUUAAUUCGAAGCAACGCGAAGAACCUUACCUAAGCUUGACAUCCCAAUGUCAUCUCCUUAAUCGGAGAGUUCCCUUCGGAGCCAUCACUGACAGGUGGGGCAUGGUUGUC